AUUGUGUGAAAAAGUAUAAAAAAAAGUAACUUAGCAAUGUAACCCCUGGGAUUAAUAUUGCAUUACCCUGCAUAACCUAAAGUGUCCAGUAGAUGGCAAACUGCACCAACAAAUGAACUGAGCAAUAACUAAAGCUGUGAGGUGGAAUUUUGUAACCACAUGGUGGCAGCCAUUUUGAGAGACUGCAGUCUAGCAGAGAGCCAGCAACAGAGAGGAAGCAGAGAAAGGAAGUUACUAGGAUUGCCCCCAAGAGAGCAGCAGCAGAUGAGAUAGACCUGUUGGUGAGUUGGAGAGAUCUAGAACUGAUUCCACUACAGGCUGUGUGAGCAGUGAGAGAAACUGCAGCUGGACUGACCUGAUUACUAACAUCAUUAGGGUACAUCGAUUACUAAAACCAAUCUAAAACCAAUUGUGGAAUCACUCCCUUCAUAUCUCAAGGAUAUGACUGAUGUCCUCAUGCGACUUGAUGGCAUAUAACUGGAUGAAGCCACCCUAAUUGUGACGUGCGAUAUUGAAUCCCUCUAUACAUUGAUCUGGCACACUGACGGUAUUGAGGCCACACAAAUUUUUCUCUCAAUGACAGACCUGGAUCAGGAUUUAUCACACCUGGACCAGCCAAGAUACCCAUCUGAACGAGGGUAAGAUAUCCGCAGUAUGCACUUGUGAUGGUUGCUUGGAAUUUGGAGCCGUUAUCACAGGACUGAGGUGAAUGCUGUGUACUGGUGCAGCAGCUUAAUUCUGUUUCCUGGGGCCUUUUUUCCUUUACACCCAUUCCUCCCACUACCAUAAUUGCAUACAUAAUUCCCUUUUUGUGCGAGUACGUUUAUCUGGGCAUUGUGCAACAUCUGACCAAUAGUGCAAAUAUUUCUGGGUGUAUAUGUUUACAUAUAUAGAUAUAUAUCUGCUAGUAUGUUUUUAUACAACUAUAUUUUUUAUGUAUGUAUACAAAAGGUUUUGUGUUACUUUGGUAAAUCCAUCUGUUUAUGUAUUGUAGUCCCAUUUCUUUCUUUGGCCCUUGUUCAGAUGCCGUAGUAGUCUGUCUGCUGUUGUUCCAUUUUAUUUUAUUUUAUUAUUGUCACUAUCAAUAAAGCUUAUACACUUUU